AAAAGCGAAUCGUCCAGCCCUGUAUCUUCGAAGAAGUUUAAAUCGCAUUCUGAUGAAGCAGAAUCUGCGACAUCAGUGAAGUCCUCGUCGUAUAAGACCUUAGAUAAAGUUUUGGAGGCCGAAGAUGCGAAUAACAAUUUAUGCGACAUCCUCAGAUCUAGUUUCCUGUUUACACAUUUUGAAGAUGAUGCAUGGGAUAACGAAGUUUCAAGCACGUACGAUGAUGUAUCGACCGACGUGUUACCAUCAAACGUGGCCAAUGUGAAAAACAAAAGCUAUGAAUCUGCGAGUAUGCUUCAGGAGUCAGAUGAAGAGGACAAAGUGGAUGUUUAUAUAGUGAAACAAACUUCUGAAGGGCCCGUAAAAAUCGCACACGUAGAAAAUAUGGAACCACUCAUCGUAACCAACGACGAGAUUUCAAAGAAUAUUUACGAUAGCAUAGUUAAUAUAUUCAACAGAAAUCGAAUCAAAAGUGGCUCGCCGGCUACGUAACAAACGAUUCAAUUUAGAAUAUUUGUUAUUUCAUAUGCUUAGUACUUAUCAGUGAGUUAUCAUAGUGUUAGUAAUUUAUUCGACAGACAUGUAUUUCCAUCAAAGAAUCAAAAAUAUAAGAAAUAUGCUCUUGAAAUAUUAAGAGAUCGAUGUCACAUGUAAAGUUUGCACUUGUUCUCGUUAACGUUAAUUAACG
rnacentral:misc_RNA from 1 species